UCGCAUGAUGAACAUCCUGAUAGGGACAUCAGAUGCAAAGCAAAUGAUGUGACCAGGAAAAGAGAAUUUUAGUAGAUGCCUCUAGUAUCUGAAG
rfam:Aspergillus bombycis strain NRRL26010 contig00079, whole genome shotgun sequence.